CAGCCCCUCGAGUGGUGGGGAUGAUUAUUUGGCCUAAAGCGUUCGUAGCCGGUUAUGAAAGUCCUUCGUUAAAUCUAACGUCUCAAGCGUUAGCUUGCGAAGGAUACUACGUAACUAGAGGGUGGGAGAGGUCGGCGGUAUUCUGGGGGUAGGGGCGAAAUCCUUUGAUCCCCGGAGGACCACCAGUGGCGAAGGCUGCUGACUAAAACACGCCUGACGGUCAGGGACGAAAGCUGGGGUAGCGAACCGGAUUAGAUACCCGAGUAGUCC
rnacentral:rRNA from 1 species